rnacentral:rRNA from 1 species
CGGGGGGGGCAAGCGUUGUUCGGAAUUACUGGGCGUAAAGGGCUCGUAGGCGGCCAACUAAGUCAGACGUGAAAUCCCUCGGCUCAACCGGGGAAUUGCGUCUGAUACUGGAUGGCUUGAGUUUGGGAGAGGGAUGCGGAAUUCCAGGUGUAGCGGUGAAAUGCGUAGAUAUCUGGAGGAACACCGGUGGCGAAGGCGGCAUCCUGGACCAACACUGACGCUGAGGAGCGAAAGCCAGGGGAGCAAACGGGAUUAGAUACCCCGGUAGUCCUGGCCCUAAACGAUGAAUGCUUGGUGUGGCGGGUAUCGAUCCCUGCCGUGCCGAAGCUAACGCAUUAAGCAUUCCGCCUGGGGAUACGGUCGCAAGGCUG